CCCUGGGUGGCUCAGUCGGUUAAGCAUCCGACUUCGGCUCAGGUCGUGAUCUCACGGUUCGUGGGUUCGAGCCCCACUUCGGGCU
rnacentral:tRNA from 1 species